UUGAGUGGCGAACGGGUGAGUAACACGUGGGCAACCUGCCCAAAAGAGGGGGAUAACACUUGGAAACAGGUGCUAAUACCGCAUAACCAUAGUUACCGCAUGGUAACUAUGUAAAAGGUGGCUAUGCUACCGCUUUUGGAUGGGCCCGCGGCGCAUUAGCUAGUUGGUGGGGUAAAGGCUUACCAAGGCAAUGAUGCGUAGCCGAACUGAGAGGUUGAUCGGCCACAUUGGGACUGAGACACGGCCCAAACUCCUACGGGAGGCAGCAGUAGGGAAUCUUCCACAAUGGGCGAAAGCCUGAUGGAGCAACGCCGCGUGGGUGAAGAAGGUCUUCGGAUCGUAAAACCCUGUUGUUAGAGAAGAAAGUGCGUGAGAGUAACUGUUCACGUUUCGACGGUAUCUAACCAGAAAGCCACGGCUAACUACGUGCCAGCAGCCGCGGUAAUACGUAGGUGGCAAGCGUUAUCCGGAUUUAUUGGGCGUAAAGGGAACGCAGGCGGUCUUUUAAGUCUGAUGUGAAAGCCUUCGGCUUAACCGGAGUAGUGCAUUGGAAACUGGGAGACUUGAGUGCAGAAGAGGAGAGUGGAACUCCAUGUGUAGCGGUGAAAUGCGUAGAUAUAUGGAAGAACACCAGUGGCGAAAGCGGCUCUCUGGUCUGUAACUGACGCUGAGGUUCGAAAGCGUGGGUAGCAAACAGGAUUAGAUACCCUGGUAGUCCACGCCGUAAACGAUGAAUGCUAAGUGUUGGAGGGUUUCCGCCCUUCAGUGCUGCAGCUAACGCAAUAAGCAUUCCGCCUGGGGAGUACGACCGCNAGGUUGAAACUCAAAGGAAUUGACGGGGGCCCGCACAAGCGG
rnacentral:rRNA from 1 species